rnacentral:rRNA from 1 species
GGUUGAUCCUGCCAGUACAAUAUGCUUGUCUCAAAGAUUAAGCCAUGCACGUCUAAGUAAAAGCAAUUUUUUUACAGCGAAACUGCGUACAGCUCAUUACAUCAGUUAUGAUUCCUUUGAAGGUCUAUAUUUUUUAUUAAAUAUACUACAUGGAUACCCGUAGUAAUUCUAGAGCUAAUACAUGCGACAGAUUCUUCUUCUUUCUGGGAGGGGAAUGGCGUUAUUAGAUACGAGCCUGGUAGAAAAGAAUUUCGGUUUUUUUCUUGUAUGGUGAAUCAUGGUAACUUUGCGAA